UCUCCAUACCAGAUGGGCACGUAACAGCCGCGGGCACAGCCUGCCAUGGUUCUCACUCCCAUGGCAGUCUCCAUCCUGCACUGCACAGCUAUGGAGUAAUGCAAACAGAACACACCACGAGUCAUUUCCAAGCUCACGCCAGUCAGCAUUUAUCGCAGCACAGAAGUGUCUGAUGUGACUACAAACAUCAGUGAGCGGACCUGAAGGCAAUCUGAAGUCUGGAGAAGCGCAAAUAAGAGGUUAACAGCUUAUACCCCUCUUCACUGAUUUGCCUUAGCUUAGUCCCGUGGACAUACACGUGAGCUACUGAUGACUGAUUCUCAUUGGCACGAGGUGUUCACCGAAAAGACUGAGAAACCCAAACCCAAGUGAGUGUCGGUAGGCAAGAAGUGAUGUGGAACAGAGAGAGGACAAGCAGACAUCCUUUACUCUUAAGGAUCUGUUGCCAAUUUUUGGGAACCUCUGGGUCAUGAGCAGCAGAACUUUCUCCUCCCUGACCCCACAUCUGCCCUGGGCAGAGCUGAGCACCCAAGCAGCCAUGUGCUGCCAACAAGGGCAGCAGGCAUGCUGGCCUGGGUCACUUCAGCAGCUUUGACCAAACUACCUGCAAACCGUGACAUGAAAUAAAUCCCAUGAAUGAAGGUCUUGACCGCUCCCCUUGUUCUCCAGAUACCCAAAAAUAGAUCAGCGAAGAAAUGAUUAACCACGACCCAGAGGGCAAGAGCCUGCCCUCCAGGCUGAGAGCUACUUUCACUAACACCAGGGCCUCCUCUUCCUCGUGCACGAGCUCCCAUCCCACCCUGCACACAGCAGGGCUGCUGCUGCAGAGCGGCUGUCCGAAUCCUGACCCCACCAGAGCAGCUGCAGGCAGUCCCAAAAAGGACAGAGGUGGAUUUACUUGCUGCUCAAUCUCUGCAAGCCUUUUAUUACCAGCAUCACGGGACGUCAUUUAAACAUUAUUUUUAUUUACACCUUAAUCGAAGUAAAUAUGCAAACAGCUUCUAUAAAUUUUAUCAAACAGACAGGAGAGGGAGCUCUCUCUUCAUCCCACUAGAUUAUGAAUGGAUUUUGCUGAACGUAUUAAAACCUAACCACAUUUUUAUUCUAUGUCACAUGUUAUUUCUUGUCCUUCUUUUGUCCUGGGACCGUCUCCUCUCAGCAAACAACUUUGUAACACGAAACAUUGCUGUGUACCACAGAACAUUUUUUUGGACGAAUGCAGUAAGCACAUUUUGAAGGCACUUUAAUUUUGGUAUAGGAAAAAAUGAGGAUAUAAUUCCUAUUUACAAAAUUCUUCUUCCCUACUUACUGAUACAUAUACAGUCAUACAGCGUGCUCUGCACAUCUGUCUGCAUCAAAAGUGCACUUCUUUAAUAUCCAAAUUAAAGUACUAAGUGAUUCUUUUAACUAACCACCAUCAUUAAUAUGCUCACGGAUCUUUUGUAUUUAUCCUGAGAUCUAUCACACCAACCUGAGAUUUCUGGCAGACCUGUGUGCAGUUUGAAGGCAAAUCCCUGAAAUAUCGAAUUCAGAAGAAAUGCAUACAAGUGAAUAAGCCACAGCUAAAAUAGAUCCAGGACAAAAGAAAGUCACACCAAUCUUACUGCCUGCGUGUUCUCAUUGUGUUUAUUUGAAAUCUUACUGUAAUAUGAUCUUCAUUCGAAAUUCUGAAAAAAAGCAAAAAUGGACAGCAGAAAUGCUUGUAUCAGCAUCCAGAUAUAAUGCUAAAAAUCAAACUGUGAGUUACAUCUGUCUCGUAAAGGCUAUAUAAUAAGAUUUACUUAAUCCAUUUGAAAGAAAAAAAAUGUUUUUGUCCCCCAAUUUGUUGCGACAUCUGAAAGUUCAUGAGGUUAUGACCCCUCCUUAAGAAAGCAUCUUCUACCACCUGCAAAUACCCCAGGAAAGCAGUCUGAAACAAUAAAACACGUGCUAGUUAACCGUUACCCGGGCAACGGUUAUGCUUCAGCAAUGGGAGGUUUCAGCCCCACGGUGGCUUUGUCUAAAGAAGACAUGGCCCAGCUGUUACCGAAUAACCAUUGUUGUAGAUCAUCGGGAAAUAACAGUCAACACGAGCUGAGCCCUGUGGAAGUUUCUAUUCUCUUCAGCAUCAGAGGUACAGCUGAGUAAAAGGACAGAAAAGCAGGCAGUUUACUACAUAACACAAAAUACGAUAGUAGUAAAGACGGUAAGCUGACCCUUCAAUAGUAACUCAUCCUGGAGCGUGUACAAAUCGAUUGCCUUUCCACUUCCAGGACGAUGACUGUUCUCAUGCAAUAACCUCAAUACCCUAGAUGACAAAUACUGAAAUUAUUAAUUAACCAGAGUAUCAGAAAGUUCCAGAACUGAGGACGAAGUCAUCCUUUGUGCUUACAAGUGAAUCAGCAUGCAAAGCCCUUUUUUUAUUCCUUGCAUCAAAAGGACACUUGCUCACGCAGCAACAGAUUGGUCUCCUGUGCAAUAGGGAUGAACAAUAGUCAAUUUUAUUGUCUUGAAACACAGUAUCACUGCUUUCAGUCAAAACUUCCAUUUCCCUUUGAGAAGGACUUUGGCUGACUAUAUUGGUUAGUUUGUAGAAGAGACUGAAUAAUUUAAGAGGGAUGUUUUGCAGGUUUUGUCAGUUGGGUUUUGCCCUUUUGUUUGCUUUAAACAGGACUGUCAAACCCUAGACCCUGGUCAGUCAGUGCAGAGCUUUCAGUAACAGCAACACGCCAAGAGUUCGUUCUGCUAUUUAUGAGAGGUAUCCUGCAUUUCAUAUCAGCCCACUCACUUCACAAAGCUACACGAGAGGCUGCAGUAAGAUGGUGCUGUGCUGUACAGUGCUCCUCCAUCCACUGUGCAAAGCCCCCCAGCAGCUGCCAGGAGAGGCCACACCUGUACAGAAGCUGAUGCGUAACCACGCAAAGGCUGCACUGACACCAAGAUAUUUCAUAAUCUCCAUUUUAUUUAUUCUAAGCAAAAUGCAAGCUGAUUUCUUCAAUACUGAAAGGUGAGGCAAGCAGAAAAUGUGACUCUGUGUGUUGCAAUCACAGAAUCGUUAGGGUUAGAAGGGAUCUUUAAAGGCCAACUAAUCCAACCCU